rnacentral:rRNA from 1 species
CACGUAGGGGGCGAGCGUUGUUCGGAAUCAUUGGGCGUAAAGGGCGCGCAGGCGGCGUAUAAAGUCUGGCGUGAAAGUCCCCGGCUCAACCGGGGGAUAGCGUUGGAAACUGGUAUGCUUGAGUACGAGAGGGGAUGGCGGAAUUCCAGGUGUAGGGGUGAAAUCUGUAGAUAUCUGGAGGAACACCGACGGCGAAGGCAGCCAUCUGGUUCAGUACUGACGCUGAGGCGCGAAGGUGCGGGGAGCAAACAGGUUUAGAUACCCUGGUAGUCCGCACAGUAAACGAUGUGCACCAGGUGUCGGGCAACAGUUGUUCGGUACCGAAGCAAACGCGAUAAGUGCACCGCCUGGGGAGUAUGCCCGCAAGGGUGAAACUCAAAGGAAUUGACGGGGGCCUGCACAAGCGGUGGAGCAUGUGGUUUAAUUCGAUGAUACGCGAGAAACCUUACCAGGGCUUGACAUGUACAGGGAUGGAUGUGAAAGCAUUCAGCUUUUCGGAGCCUGUACACAGGUGCUGCAUGGCU